rnacentral:rRNA from 1 species
UGGUUCUGCUAUCACUCUUGGGAUGGACCUGCGGUGCAUUAGCUAGUUGGUAGGGUAACGGCCUACCAAGGCGAUGAUGCAUAGCCGAGUUGAGAGACUGAUCGGCCACAUUGGGACUGAGACACGGCCCAAACUCCUACGGGAGGCAGCAGUAGGGAAAUCUUCCACAAUGGACGCAAGUCUGAUGGAGCAACGCCGCGUGAGUGAAGAAGGGGUUUCGGCUCGUAAAGCUCUGUUGUUGGUGAAGAAGGACAGGGGUAGUAACUGACCUUUGUUUGACGGUAAUCAAUUAGAAAGUCACGGCUAACUACGUGCCCAGCAGCCGCGGGUAAU